rnacentral:rRNA from 1 species
GACGAACUGUCCAAACGUUGUUCGGAAUCACUGGGCUUAAAGGGCGCGUAGGCGGUUCGACAAGUCAGGGGUGAAAUCCUGCAGCUUAACUGUAGAAGUGCCUUUGAUACUGUCGAUCUUGAGGGAGAUAGGGGUGUGCGGAACUUCCAGUGGAGCGGUGAAAUGCGUUGAUAUUGGAAGGAACGCCGGAGGCGAAAGCGGCGCACUGGAUCUCUUCUGACGCUGAGGCGCGAAAGCUAGGGGAGCAAACGGG